rnacentral:rRNA from 1 species
CAACGCCGCGUGGAGGAUGAAGUAUCUCGGUACCGUAAACUCCUUUCGAUGGGGAAGAUGAUGACGGUACCCAUAAGAAGAAGCCCGGCUAACUUCGUGC